UUCCUUCUCAGGCAACUUUCCGUUGGUGGCUUUAUUUCACCUAGGUUUGACUCUCUUAUUCACAUUCUAGCUAGACAUAGAGAGAGAGAGAGAGAGAGAGAGCGAGAGACAGAGAGAUACUUUGUUUAUCCACAAGGGAAAUUCACUGCUCCUGUAAUCUCCACAAUGGAACCAGCACAACUAACACAAAACUAGGCAGGCAGUCCGAAAUACUUAUAAUAUUAAAGAUAUGAAGAACAUUAAACAUAUUGUUGUAUCUAAAAAAAAUAAAAAAAUAAAAAACUCUAAGCUAUGACCAAUAUUAAACAUCAUCUAUAAAUGUUUUCAUUACAAUACAGAAAUACAAUAAAAGUCAGAAUUCCAGUGCAGUCAGAAUCUCCAGAGUAAGGCAAAUGGUGAUUACUCUGCAAGAUGUUGGCAGUAAAGAGUUGAGGGAGCGUGAAAUUAGCGUUUCCCUCCUAAACUUUGCUUCAGAUGGUUCUAUGCAGUGGAUGCUGUGGAUUGUUGGCUGAUGUUUGUUUAGCGUCCUCCUUUCUGCCACGUCAGGCUGACCAACUCUGCCCACGACACAGCACGCCUUCCUCCUCAGAAGCGUUCCCUUUUCCUCAUUCAAGGUUUAUAGUGUUGUGGUCUGUUUUACCGAGUGCAGAUUGCAGACAGUGAGAUUGCACUUUAUGCAUCCUUGACAUUUGCAUUCAGUAAAUCAAUCCUCCCAUUACCCCUGGUUUUACAGUUUACAUACUGGUGAAAAGCUGGUAGUUUCUUGUCUGGAGUGGUGUGAUUAGAUUCGCCUGAUAUUAAAACCAAUGCCUCAGGGUGCUAUGUUAACAAAAAAUACAUAUAUAUUUGACAAGCACCAUGGGAUUACGGUUCUUUGCAUAGUGAUGGUGACUCAUAGUCCUCAACCUUUAGGUAACAAAACAGGGCAAUUGUGUCAUUAAAGCUGCAGAACUAUUACUUUAUUACUAUGACUUUAUUACUGGUACACUCCAUCAACAUAGCACGAGUACUGUACAUAUUUGACCAAUGGUCUCUUUUAUUUUAGCCAGAUUUGUGAAAAAUGUUUGAAGACAGGGGUAGUGUUUCAGGUUAAGGUUUCAAACUCAGUUUAUGGUUUCCAAUUUUGGUUUGAAGCCAUAUUUGGGUUUCAGUUUUAAGUUUUAGAUAACCAAACAUGCUAUUACUAUUAGCACUGACUUUAUUACUGGCACACUCUGUCGACAUGGCAAGAGGACUGUAUGUUUUUGGAGGACUGUAUGUUUUUGGACCAAUGUGUAAAUAUUUUAACGUUUCCACAAGUUGUUCAGUUCACUGCGGUAUGAGUGGGAAGAACCAAGCAAUAGUCUGCUUUUGAGAGAAUUGAUUUGGAGACAAACGGAAAGGAAAAUCAUUUAUGCUUGCGCCCCUGUGGUACUCUUCCGACGGAAGAGUGCCGUACCUAACUGAACUGUACUCCCCAGUGGAAACUGGGCUUUUUGUUUUGUUUUGAAACACAUUCCUGGGACAUAUUUUGGUGCUUUGUGGUGCACUUUAUGAAGCCAUUUCAUUUUAUUUUACUGCUUUAAUUGACACACUAAAAGUCGCUGAAAUGUUUUUAGAAAAGUCCGGAAUUCAGCCCAGUGGACUACGGCACGGUGGGCUUGGAAAAUGGCAUAGCCGUUAUCACUCUGAAAUGAAAAACUUUGUGUACUGAGCACCUUUUGUCCACACUGCCUUCACUUUGAAUGGGCAGAUAGAAGAGCGCCUCUAGCUUCCACAGUCUGAUUUAUGAGACGAGAUCUUAUGUUGGGGGUUGGCAAACUAUUCUGCUCAAAAGCCACAUUUCAUUUUUAAGCGGGACAGGUGAGCCCAGUCAUUCAUAGACAGAAAAAAAAGGUAAAAUGUGUAUGUAAAUAAUUUAUUCUAAUUAUAAAGUAUUCAUUUAUUAGUGUUUUUUGUUUAGCGUUAAUUUGAUUAUAAUUUACCGUUUUUUUAUGAGAAAUUAAAAAAUUAUGAAUACAUUCAUUUUAAUAAACCCAUUUUCUGGGGGGACAAGGUUAAAUUAAUACAACUAAUAUUACAAGAUUCUUGAGAAUGUCAUUUAUUAAAGAAUUGAGCUGACCAUAUGUGGCCCACCAGGCAUAGUUUGCCCACUCCUGUGAUAAAGGCAGUCCCUUUUCUUUCAAUUGUCAAGACCGCAGCGGCAUGCCAAUGGCUUGAGUUUUUGAUCAUAUUUGUCAUUGUACCUUCUCAUUUAUUUGUCAUGAAAGAGAUGGAUAAAUUAUGUAUGCACUAUUUACACCUUAAAUGAUAAAAUAAUAAUUCCUUAAAUGAUAUUGGUAGUGUAGGGGCUCAUGUAGCAGAGGCCUGAACUCAAUUAGGAAAAAUGGAUAGGAGCUGGUCUAAGACCUUUGCAAAGUCGUAUGUGGUAUAGUCAGAUUUAUUCUGGGAUUUAUUUUUAAUAAAGUAAUAUUUAUAUACAUUGUCGGUGCACAAUAAAAAGCACAAAAUUUUGUGGUGUUAACCCCACGGGAAAGUGUUCUUCGUUGGACAGUGACGGAACUAUUUUAUUUAAAAUAUAGUCACACAGUUUAUUAUGUUGUUGAAUUGUUAAUGUUAAGUUUUGUUUUUGGAGAUGUUAAAGUUUGAAAAACCAAAUUCAUGUUUUUAUUACAUGUACAAUUUGUAACUUCUUGUUUCUGAAAGGAAUUAAAGUAAUUUAAGAUCUU